UAGCAGCGGUAAUUCCAGCUCCAAUAGCGUAUAUUAAAGUUGUUGCAGUUAAAAAGCUCGUAGUUGAACUUCGGGAUCAAUUAGUUGGUCAUGCCUUGGUAUGUACUGAUUUUAUUGGUUCUCACCUUCUAAAGAACUAUAAUGUCAUUUAUUUGAUGUUAUAGGGAAUUAGGACUGUUACCUUGAAAAAAUUAGAGUGUUUAAAGCAGGCUCACGCUUGAAUACAUUAGCAUGGAAUAAUGAAAUAGGACAUCGCAUUCUAUUUUGUUGGUUUCUAGGAUCGAUGUAAUGAUUAAUAGGGAUAGUUGGGGGCAUUAGUAUUCAAUUGUCAGAGGUGAAAUUCUUGGAUUUAUUGAAGACUAACUACUGCGAAAGCAUUUGCCAAGGAUGUUUUCAUUAAUCAAGAACGAAAGUUAGGGGAUCGAAGACGAUCAGAUACCGUCGUAGUCUUAACCAUAAACUAUGCCGACUAGGGAUCGGAUGAUGUUGAUUUUUUAAUGACUCAUUCGGCACCUUACG
rnacentral:misc_RNA from 1 species